rnacentral:rRNA from 1 species
AUUGAACGCUGGCGGCAGGCCUAACACAUGCAAGUCGAACGGUAACAGGAAGAAGCUUGCUUCUUUGCUGACGAGUGGCGGACGGGUGAGUAAUGUCUGGGAAACUGCCUGAUGGAGGGGGAUAACUACUGGAAACGGUAGCUAAUACCGCAUAACGUCGCAAGACCAAAGAGGGGACCUUCGGGCCUCUUGCCAUCGGAUGGGCCCAGAUGGGAUUAGCUAGUAGGUGGGGCAACGGCUCACCUAGGCGACGAUCCCUAGCUGGUCUGAGAGGAUGACCAGCCACACUGGAACUGAGACACGGUCCAGACUCCUACGGGAGGCAGCAGUGGGGAAUAUUGCACAAUGGGCGCAAGCCUGAUGCAGCCAUGCCGCGUGUAUGAAGAAGGCCUUCGGGUUGUAAAGUACUUUCAGCGGGGAGGAAGGGAGUAAAGUUAAUACCUUUGCUCAUUGACGUUACCCGCAGAAGAAGCACCGGCUAACUCCGUGCCAGCAGCCGCAGUAA